rnacentral:lncRNA from 1 species
UAAAAUAUGGAUGUCUACGGGCUGUGGUUUUUCUACCCAUGUUACCCAAACAACAGCUACAGAGGCAAAUGAAAAAAAAUAAAAGAACUAACUAUAAGCAGCAAUACCACAAAACUCAGCCCAUAAUCAACACAAAAUCUCAACCAGUAAGCAUCACAGUCAUGCAUUGAUAUAUAAAGUCCCAGCUAACAAGAUAACCCAGCUAAGCACAACAAGAUAACCCAGCUACUCAGUUACUGCAUCAUGGCCAUAUUCAAAACCAGAAAUAAAAAAAAUCUGAUGCUUCAUAACUUGCAAAAACAUAAACAAAUAUCUAAGACAAAACCAAGCAAAUCAACCCAGCUAACCGCGUGUAAAAAAAAUAUACUCAGCA